UACGACGAAAUAAAAUGAUACGACUGACAUAAAACCAAGUACAAAUGACAAAAAUAAAACUCACCAUUACGUUGAAUUAGUGGGAGCACUGAGUUUGUUUCUCAGAAACCAGCCGGUCCCAUCUAGACGUAAUCGGAGACAAUGACACCCGAAGUGAUUAAGAUUACCAAGGCUUCCGGUGGACCUUCUAUUUGGCAUUGAGCAGGAAGAAAGCCCGGGCUCCUACCAAGACUAUGUGGGAAAAUGGAGGAGCAGGAUGAUUGAGGCUUACAACAUCGCCUCCAGGAAUGCAGUUUAGUCAGCCGAUAGAGGUAAAAGACAGUACGACAGGAAAAUCUAUGGUCCACCACUUCAGGUGGGCAGCCGUGUUCUUGUCAGAAAUGUCGUUGAGAAGGGAGGUCCGGGAAAGAUCCGCUCAUAUUGGGAAGACAAGAUUUACGUCAUCAAACACCAAAAGGGUGAGGACAGUCCAGUUUUCGAGUUAGAGCCAGAAAAUGGCACAGGCAGAACAAAGAUCUUACACAGGAAUUUGUUAUUGCACUGUGACUUUGUUCCACUAA